rnacentral:lncRNA from 1 species
UUUUUUUUCAGUUGAGGUCCCCUCUUCUCAUGUCUACCUUAUGUCAAGUUGACAAAUAACCAACCAGCCACGACAUUACCUGUACUAUACUUAUAAAAUAUAUUUCUCUACCACAUCAUCGAUGCAUGCUGCUUUCAGUUUUUCUUGUUUAUUUGUUUGUUUUCAAAAUAGGGUUUCUCUGGGUAGCCCUGGCUAUCCUAGAACACCCUCUGUAGACCAGGAUGGCCUGGAAUGCACACAGAUCUGCCUGCCUCUGCCUCCCCAGUGAUGGAACUAAAGGUGAUUCUUACUCUGCUGAUAGCUUUAUUUAUCUCUUAAGGUUUAUUUUUAUUUUAAAAUUAUGUGUAUAUAAGCGUCCUUGUGUGGGUAUGUGCAUAAGAGGACAGGUGUUGUGAAAUCCAGAGGGAGGCAACGAAUCUGAGACCAGAGUUAUUGGCAGUGGUGGGUUGCCUGACAUAGGUUCUAGGACCCAAAGUCAGGUUCUCUGUUAGAGCAGUAUGUGCUCUUAACCCCUGAGGCACCCUUGUCCUGCUCAGCUGCACCUAAGAACUUGCGGCGUCCUCCUGGACUUCAUACUGCUCAGUCUUGAACCCCGAUUGCUGGUCCAGUUCCACUUUGCACAAGCACCGCUCCAGCGAAGCACCUCAAAAGGCCAAUCCGCAGUUGGGCGCCCAGCUGUCGCCCCCUGCCGGCCGGAUUCACUACUGCACUAUCAGAGCAAAUCCUAGGCUCUGUGGUACACUACUGGGCAUUACCGCUAAAGGAAGUUUGUUUCAUUUUUGUUUUGUUUUUCUCCCAGCCACUACCAAGCUCCUCCAUUUGCUCUUUACUGUAAUUUUGAGUUCCAGAGUCCAAAAAUCUGAAGGGAGUGUUUGAAAAGUAAAGUGAACUAAAUUGUUUGGGGUUUGGGUUGAAUUCAAACUGUAGGGUUUGAACAAGAAAUCACCAUAAGAGCCUAUGGUGAUUUUCCAAAGGACUCCAAACCCCCUGUCACAAACAGCUGCUCCUUGGGACUGUCUAAGGACUUGGAGCAGGUUUGAGUCCAGGAAAAAAAGGUAGGAGCAUUUGAGGAGCCCUUGCAUUCUGUGUUGUAAGUGGUCGAGGGGAACACCCUGAUCUGGGCCCUGGUCAGUUCUUUGCUUUGUCACUUUGUGGGCGCUGGUAGAGCCAGAUGAUGCCUUCAUCAUGCAACCGCUUCCACACCAUUCUCUCUAACCUGAAGUCAUGGUUGAUAUAAAAGAUGAGCCGUUUCCAUGAUGUAUCAUAGUAGUGGUCAGAGAAGCGCUGGUGGCCCUCGGUGAUGAAGCCAUAGGCGCUGACCUGCAGGAAAAUGGAGGAGGGACUGGGACUGGAGAGGCUGCCUCCUGGGGCACUCUGUCCCUUUAUCCUGGUCCUGGCCCUGGGCUCUGGAUGCAGAGCCCUUGGGUGUACAUGCUCGAUCCUAAUCCUAUCAGAGGUUUGCAGGCUCACCUUGUCACAGAUAUGAAGGGCUGUGAGCAGCAGGAGGGCGCCAGUGGUGGGGCGGUAUAUUCUCCAAUGGGCAGUGUCCAGGGUCUUUGACCUCAGAAACCUGUUCAAAAUACCCAGAUUCCCAACUGUCAGGAGUCAGCAAAGGAUGAGAGGCCCACGGACCCACUAUGGGCUUCCUACCCUUACCUGUUCUUCAUGUAACGGAGAAAGUCUGGGUGCAGCAGCAAGUAUCGAUCCAAGUCCAAGGCAUUCCGGAAGGCUUCCUGAGGCCUAUGCCUGUGGCCAGAGAUGGAUCCCUCAGGUCCUGUUCUCUUACCUGGCCCGGUGGAGGCCAAGUUAUGGUCACUGUGUGACCGCUAUCCCAUCUCCAAGUGUCACAGAAGCAGUCCCACCUGACUAACCCUUUUGAAGUCAGUCACUUCUCAGUCUGGCAGGGUUUCCAGGGCAGGAGGAGGGAAGGGGUACCUGAACCAGGAAAGGUGGGUUUUUGCCAAGGUCUGAUUCAAAAACAUAGCUUCCAGCCACUCAUAGUCCCGGGUGCCUUCCAGGAAGUGUAGAUAUCAGACGUCCUGAAGACCAAGGACAACAAGUGGUCUGGGAGCACUGCCUUGAGGAGCCUAGACAGAGGGCGACCCUCAUCUCACUCGUGACUGUCCCCCAAAUCUCCCAUGGCCUGAGUGGCUGUUGUCACUGCUCUUGCCCUCAUGUGAACAGAGUUUGGGAUGAGCCAGUUUCCAUCCACACACAAGGCACUCAUAAGUCUCCCCUAUCCAGGGGCUGUAUAGCCAUGCCCAUUCUCAAUCUUGUUUCUCCCCUGAGCAGGCACGGUGGGGCCACGCCCAUUUGCACUCAUUGGUCUCCCAUGUUCAGGGGCUGGGUGGUCACGCCCACUCCUCCCUUCUCACCUUUCCCAGAGGCACAUGCUGGAAGCCUCGUCUACCCAAAAUGAGGAUAGACUGGGUCAGAGAGAAAGCAGUGAAGCCAUAGAAGGAUGUCCGGGUCCCCACAUCCUGUUCAUAUCCUUUAAUAACGGCUCCACUCAGUUUGUGUAGAAAGAUCGAAUCAGAUGCUGUGAAUGGAGGAGAGACAUUUUUUUGUGGAGAUGAAUCAGGGGGUAGGAGCUGUAGACACACUCCAUUUUCUAGAUAAAGAUAUGGGGACAUGUCUUAGGGUUUUAUAGCUGGGAAGAGACACUGUGACCACUAUGCCAACCCUUAUGAAGGAAAACAUUUCAUUGGAGCUGGCUUACAUUUUGAGAGGUUUAGUCCAUUAUCAUCACGGCGAGGAAUAUGGUGGAUCACAGGCAAGCAUGGUGCUGAAGGAGCUGAGAGUACUACAUCUUGAUCCACAGGUGCCAGAAGGAGAUGGUGUGCCACACUGGACAUAGCUCGAAUGUAGACCUCCAAGCCUACCCUCACAGUGACACACUUCCUCCAACAAGGCCAUGCCUACUCCAACAAGGCCACACCCCCUAAUCAGGACACUCCCUAUGGGCCAAGCUUUCACCCAAAUGAGUCUAUGGGGGCUAUUCCAAUUCAAACCAGCACAGGACACUUAUCGGGUCGCCCAUUAUAGCCCAUAUCUACAGGCAACAGAGGGAGAACAUACCGGAAAACAUAGUCAUGGCUGUCUAUCUCCUGGCCAACACGUGAAUCAUUCAGGAUGCCCCCGUUGCCCACUACAGCACAGGUGAUACACUUGGAAUACCCAGUAGGGAGGCUGGCCAGGAGGAGCUGCUGCUGGCGGACUGGAGGGAAGCGGGUCACCACCUUCUGUACCACUGGAACACAGCAGGGUUCCAUUCAAAGCCCCAGAAAUGAACCAACCCAAGAGAGGAAGCCAGCCACCCUGUACUCUGAAGUAAGCACUCACGGGACUGAUUGAGUUCCAUGAAGCCAAAGGGAGGAGCGAAGUGCUCUAGACGGUUCCACUCGCUCUGGGUGAAGCGUCCAGAGUCCAGGAACAGAGUGAUGUUGGGCAGAAAGAUAUUCUGUAGCCAUGGUGACUUGGAGGCCUUGAUCUUCACAGAAGCAGAGCAGUUCUAUGUGCAGGAAGAUAUGGAAAGGUCAGGCAAUGGGUGGCCCAGGAAAGCAUCAGCCAGGGGCUGGGUGGGUUCCAUUAGACAGAGACUGGGCUGGGGAUACAGGUUGAAAGUUCCUGCUCCCUACUCUCUCUUUCACUCUGGACCCCAGGGUCUCCAAAUCUAAGUCACCUUGGUUCCAGAAAACAGGUCCUCUCAGCUCUGAAGCAGCUACACCUUGCAAUUCUGACAGCCACAUGGGCAUGCGCUGCUCUCUUGGGUUGUGACCCUGUCCUGUGUGUAUACACAAGCAGGUUUUCAGUAUUUCCUCAAGGCAGGGGUGAGAAGGAUUAGGGUGGUGACAUGGGCUUGAGGGCUGAAGGACAGUGAAGGAUCUGAGGGGGCUUUCCAGGGAUGCCAGUGUCACUGGGAAGGGAGCAGCUAAACAGUAGGCUGUGUCUUCCUGUCUGCUAGUCCCAUGACUAUAGAAUAAGGGAUGACGUACUGGACCCCCAGAACUGGCCCCAAUAUCUUCUCACAGAAUGGUGACCUGCCUCAGGUCUUCUUGAAAGGGGUCCCAGACAAGUCCCUUCCAGACACACCUUUCUGAGUUGUCCAGACCUUAAUCCUGGACCUACCUUCUCCUCCCUGACUUUGGCUGUUAUAAAAAGGAAGGAUGAAGGAUGGUUCAUUUUUAAGUGUCAGGUAGACCACAGGAGGAAAAGGGCUGCCUGGGGUGGUGGUAUAGUGCAGAGUCACAGGGAAGGUCCAGACUCACCGUCUGCAGGCUGCUCAUAUCCAAGCUAUAUUCCUCCUCAAAAUCCCACCGAGGCUCAGACUUGAACUCAGAGGCCUUCAGCCUUUGCCUUCUUCGUGUGGUGGGGUGUGGGGAAGAGGCAGGGGAUUUGGUAGCCUGGACCACUUUCUUCUUAGCUGGGACAGCUCCUGUGGCCAUUGGUGUCUUCCUUGUUGACAGUACUCCUGGAGCUCUGGGUAGUUUGUCCAGGUAUUCUGGCACAGGCAUCUUUGCAGCAGGCUCUGCCUUGCUCUGAGGAUUCUCUGGUGCUGGCCUUAUGGUCUCCAACUUCCUCUUCUCCUUCCCCUCUCCUUGCUCUCCUUGGGAUGCCUCUCUCUCCUGUUUCUUCAGGUUCUUUGAACUGACAGAGGUUGUCUCUUUGUUGUGAACUCUGGGUGACAGUGUCAUGAUGGGUCCUUGGGGCUCAGCCUUUUGCAGAAUCUCCUGGGCACUUGAGUCAUUGUUCAGUAUGAACUGUCGCCUGCACAGAGAAUACCUGAUGAAGGUUGGCUGUUCUAUAAACCAGCCACAACAUCACUAGCAGGGCGAGGAGACGGCUCAGUGAGUAAAAGCGCUUUCUCUGCAAGAAUGAGCUUAUGGGUUUGGAUCCUCAGCUUCCAUA